rnacentral:rRNA from 1 species
AUGAACGCUAGCGGCAGGCCUAAUACAUGCAAGUCGAGGGGUAGAGUUAGCUUGCUAGCUUGAGACCGGCGCACGGGUGCGUAACGCGUAUGCAACCUACCUUAAUCAGGGGGAUAGCCCGAAGAAAUUCGGAUUAACACCGCAUAAAAUCACAGAAUAGCAUUAUUCAAUGAUCAAAUAUUUAUAGGAUUAAGAUGGGCAUGCGUGUCAUUAGCUAGUUGGCGGGGUAACGGCCCACCAAGGCGACGAUGACUAGGGG